UACGAACUGUGCGAACGUUAUUCGGAAUCACUGGGCUUACAGGGUGCGUAGGCGGCUUUUCAAGUCAGGUGUGAAAGCCCCCGGCUCAACCGGGGAAUUGCGCUUGAAACUGGAGAGCUCGAGUCAGCUAGAGGUGCACGGAACUUCCAGUGGAGCGGUGAAAUGUGUUGAUAUUGGAAGGAACACCGGAGGCGAAAGCGGUGCACUGGGGCUGGUCUGACGCUGAGGCACGAAAGCGUGGGGAGCAAACAGG
rnacentral:rRNA from 1 species